rnacentral:hammerhead_ribozyme from 1 species
GUCCAGCUGAUGAGUCUCAAAUAGAACGAAACGUGCGUCCUAGAU